rnacentral:sRNA from 1 species
GAUUCGGUCUCGCUGAGUUUCCUACAUAGGAGAACGGGGGAACCAACAGCUGCCUUCAGCAUUCAAACCAGUAGUAACGGAAGGCAACAUGUCUGAUUCCUGAUACAGGGUCUUUGGGGUGAAUUGGGGAUACUUGCGCCAUGAGCGGAGGACUCUUCAAAGGGCAUGAAAUACAAGCAGUUCAAAAUGUCCGAACCCGACAGCUAACCUCGUAAGCGAUGCAGAGGCAACCU